rnacentral:rRNA from 1 species
GAUGAACGCUGGCGGCGUGCCUAAUACAUGCAAGUCGAGCGAACGGACGAGAAGCUUGCUUUUCUGAUGUUAGCGGCGGACGGGUGAGUAACACGUGGAUAACCUACCUAUAAGACUGGGAUAACUUCGGGAAACCGGAGCUAAUACCGGAUAAUAUUUUGAACCGCAUGGUUCAAAAGUGAAAGACGGUCUUGCUGUCACUUAUAGAUGGAUCCGCGCUGCAUUAGCUAGUUGGUAAGGUAACGGCUUACCAAGGCAACGAUGCAUAGCCGACCUGAGAGGGUGAUCGCCCACACUGGAACUGAGACACGGUCCAGACGCCUACGGGAGGCAGCAGUAGGGAAUCUUCCGCAAUGGGCGAAAGCCUGACGGAGCAACGCCGCGUGAGUGAUGAAGAUCUUCGGAGCGUAAAACUCUGUUAUUAGGGAAGAACAUAUGUGUAAGUAACUGUGCACAUCUUGACGGUACCUAAUCAGAAAGCCACGGCUAACUACGUG